GGCUCAGUAGCAUGGUUGGUAAAGCACUCGUCUAGCAUACAAAAAUCGUGGGUUCGAAUCUCUCCUGAGCAC
rnacentral:tRNA from 1 species